rnacentral:snRNA from 1 species
AAAGGAUUUGUUUUUAUUAAAAAAAAAUAUAUAUGUUCUUAUCAGUUUAGUAUCUGAUACGUACCCUCUCUGUGUACUGCAUAUUAAAUAGAUUUUUGGAUCAUGGAGCUGGAGCCGGGUCCACUCCACGCAUCGGCCUGGUAUUGCAGUGUCUCCAGGAACAGUGUGCUUCCC